GUAAAUAAUUAAGGGCGUAUGGUGGAUGCCUAGGCUCUCAGAGGCGAAGAAGGACGUGAUAAGCUGCGAAAAGCUCCGUUUAGGUGCAAAUAACCUUUGAUGCGGAGAUCUCCGAAUGGGAUAACCCAAUAUGUUGAAGACAUAUUAUACCGUAAGGUAGGCAAACGCAGGGAACUGAAACAUCUAAGUACCUGCAGGAGAAGAAAACAAACGUGAUUCCCCCAGUAGCGGCGAGCGACCGGGGAUAAGCCCAAACCGUUAUUGUUUCGGCAGUAGCGGGGUAGUAGGACUGCGACAUUGAUGAAAUAAAUGAAAUGGAACACCUUGGAAAAUGUGAUCACAGAGGGUGAUAAUCCCGUACAUGCAAGUUUAUGAAUCAUAGCAGACUCCUGAGUAAGUCGGGACACGUGUAAUCCUGACCGAAUCCGCCGGGACCAUCCGGCAAGGCUAAAUACUCCUGAGAGACCGAUAGUGAACCAGUACCGUGAGGGAAAGGUGAAAAGCACUUCGAACAGAAGAGUGAAAUAGUCCCUGAACCCAUACGCCUACAAGCUGUCGGAGCCGCUUCGUGCGGUGACGGCGUGCCUUUUGCAUAAUGAGCCUACGAGUUACUCAUCACCAGCGAGGUUAAGUACUUCAGGUACGUAAGCCGAAGCGAAAGCGAGUCUGAAUAGGGCGUCAAGUUGGUGGUGGUAGACGCGAAACCUUAGUGAUCUACCCAUGGGCAGGGUGAAGGUUUGGUAACACAAACUGGAGGCCCGAACCGGUAAACGUUGAAAAGUUUUCGGAUGACCUGUGGGUAGGGGUGAAAGGCCAAUCAAACUGGGAAAUAGCUCGUACUCUCCGAAAUGCAUUUAGGUGCAGCCUCUGUUGUUUUGUUCUAGAGGUAGAGCUACUGAUUGGAUGCGAGGGCUUCACCGCCUAUCAAAUCCGGCCAAACUCCGAAUGCUAGAACAUGAAGACAGGGAGUGAGCCAGCGGGUGCUAAGGUCCGUUGACGAAAGAGGGAGAACUCAGACCAUCAGCUAAGGUCCCCAAUUAUAUGCUAAGUUGGAAUUAAAACGGGGUGGGACUGCUUAGACAGCUAGGAUGUUGGCUUGGAAGCAGCCAUUCAUUUAAAGAGUGCGUAACAGCUCACUAGUCGAGCGGUCCUGCAUGGAUAAUACGCGGGCAUAAGCAUAUAACCGAAGCUAUGGGAUUGUAGAUGAUACAAUCGGUAGGAGAGCAUUCCAUUCAGCAUAGAAGCAGUACCGUGAGGUAUUGUGGAGCGGAUGGAAAAGCAAAUGUAGGCAUAAGUAACGAUAAUGCGGGUGAGAACCCCGCACGCCGAAAGAUCAAGGAUUCCCCGGCAAUGUCAAUCAUCCGGGGGUAAGUCGGAUCCUAAGGGUAAGCCGAGUGGCGAUCCCGAUGGCAAACAGGUUAAUAUUCCUGUACUGAUCAUAACUGCGAUGCAGCGACGCAGAGGUGACACUGCUGCGUACUGACGGAAUAGUACGUUGAAACCCGUAUUCUUUGAUACCGGUAGUGAAGCACGCCGGUAGAGAUGAAAGGUGAUAGUACCGCAAUGCUUCGGUUGCGCGGAUAACGCAGGUAAGCUGACUGCCAAGAAAACCUGCUAAGCUUCAGGUAAUGAUCAUCCGUACUGUAAACGGACACACGUGAUCAGGUAGAAAAUACUAAGGCGCUCGAGAGAUUCAUGGUUAAGGAACUAGGCAAAAUGGUCCUGUAACUUCGGGAUAAAGGACGCUCUUGUGAAAGAGCCGCAGAUAAUAGGCCCAGGCGACUGUUUACCAAAAACACAUGGCUAUGCUAAUUCGCAAGAAGAUGUAUAUGGCCUGACACCUGCCCGGUGCCGGAAGGUUAAGAGGAGAGCUCAGAGGUAACUCGAAGGUUUGAAUUGAAGCCCCGGUAAACGGCGGCCGUAACUAUAACGGUCCUAAGGUAGCGAAAUUCCUUGUCGGGUAAGUU
rnacentral:rRNA from 1 species